GUACUAAAUUCGGUGGAAGGCUGGUUAAACCGUUUGGUUUACGACCACUACGACCCGGGUUCGAUCCCCGCAUUGGACA
rnacentral:tRNA from 1 species